AGAGUUUGAUCAUGGCUCAGGAUGAACGCUGGCGGCGUGCUUAACACAUGCAAGUCGAACGGAGAACCCCUGACGGAGGAUUCGUCCAACUGAUGGGAAUUCUUAGUGGCGGACGGGUGAGUAACGCGUGAGGAACCUGCCUUGGAGUGGGGAAUAACAGUCCGAAAGGACUGCUAAUACCGCAUAAUGCAGUUGGGCCGCAUGGCUCUGACUGCCAAAGAUUUAUCGCUCUGAGAUGGCCUCGCGUCUGAUUAGCUAGUUGGCGGGAUAACAGCCCACCAAGCCGACGAUCGGUAGCCGG
rnacentral:rRNA from 1 species